rnacentral:rRNA from 1 species
UACAGAGGGUGCAAGCGUUAAUCGGAAUUACUGGGCGUAAAGCGCGCGUAGGUGGUUUGUUAAGUUGAAUGUGAAAUCCCCGGGCUCAACCUGGGAACUGCAUGCAAAACUGGCAAGCUAGAGUAUGGUAGAGGGUGGUGGAAUUUCCUGUGUAGCGGUGAAAUGCGUAGAUAUAGGAAGGAACACCAGUGGCGAAGGCGACCACCUGGACUGAUACUGACACUGAGGUGCGAAAGCGUUGGGGAGCAAAC